AUUGAACGCUGGCGGCAUGCCUUACACAUGCAAGUCGAACGGUAACGGGCCUUCGGGUGCCGACGAGUGGCGGACGGGUGAGUAAUGUAUCGGAACGUACCUUUUAGUGGGGGAUAACGUAGCGAAAGUUACGCUAAUACCGCAUAUUCUGUGCGCAGGAAAGCAGGGGAUCGCAAGACCUUGCGCUGAUUGAGCGGCCGAUAUCAGAUUAGCUAGUUGGUGAGGUAAAGGCUCACCAAGGCGACGAUCUGUAGCGGGUCUGAGAGGAUGAUCCGCCACACUGGAACUGAGACACGGUCCAGGCUCCUACGGGAGGCAGCAGUGGGGAAUUUUGGACAAUGGGGGCAACCCUGAUCCAGCCAUGCCGCGUGAGUGAAGAAGGCCUUCGGGUUGUAAAGCUCUUUCGGCCGGGAAGAAAUCGCACGGGCUAAUACCCUGUGUGGAUGACGGUACCGGAAUAAGAAGCACCGGCUAACUACGUGCCAGCCGCCGCAGUAACAC
rnacentral:rRNA from 1 species